AUUGAACGCUGGCGGCAUGCUUUACACAUGCAAGUCGAACGGUAACAGGCCUUCGGUUGCUGACGAGUGGCUAACGGGUGAGUAAUGCAUCGGAACGUACCCAGAGGUGGGGGAUAACGCAGCGAAAGCUGUGCUAAUACCGCAUGUGAUCUGAGGAUGAAAGCGGGGGACCGAGCAGCAAUGUUUGGCCUCGCGCCUUUGGAGCUGCCGAUGUCGGAUUAGCUAGUUGGCGGGGUAAAGGCCUACCAAGGCGACGAUCCGUAGCUGGUCUGUGAGGACGAAAAGCCACACGAGAAAGGAGAAACGGCACAUACUCCUACAGGAAGCAGCAGUGGGGAGUUUUGGACAAGAGGAGCAAGACUGAUCCAGCAAUGCCGCGUAGGGGAAGAAGGCCUUCGGGUGGUAAACCGCGUUUGGCAGGAACGAAACGGUGUCCGCUAAUACCGGGCGAUAAUGACGGUACCUUCAGAAUAAGCACCGGCUAACUACGUG
rnacentral:rRNA from 1 species